rnacentral:rRNA from 1 species
GACGAACGCUGGCGGCGUGCUUAACACAUGCAAGUCGAACGGAAAGGCCUGCUUUCCCUUGUGGAUUGCGGGUGCUCGAGUGGCGAACGGGUGAGUAACACGUGAGUGAUCUGCCCCCAACUUGGGUAUAAGCCUGGGAAACUGGGUCUAAUUCCCGAUAGGACUGCAGGGUGGUGCCUGUGGUGGAAAACGAUUUUCUAGUGGUUGGGGAUGAGCUCGCGGCCUAUCAGCUUGUUGGUGGGGUAAUGGCCUACCAAGGCGGCGACGGGUAGCCGGCCUGAGAGGGUGGACGGCCACAUUGGGACUGAGAUACGGCCCAGAGUCCUACGGGAGGCAGCAGUGGGGAAUAUUGCACAAUGGGCGGAAGCCUGAUGCAGCGACGCCGCGUGGGGGAUGACGGCCUUCGGGUUGUAAACUCCUUUCGACCGCGAGGAAGCCACCUGGUUGGAAGGGUGGUGACGGUAGUGGUAGAAGAAGCACCGGCUAACUACGUG